rnacentral:rRNA from 2 species
UACGUAGGGGACGAGCGUUGUCCGGAAUUACUGGGCGUAAAGGGCGCGCAGGCUGCGCGUCGAGUCGGCUGUCAAAGAUCCGGGCUUAACCCGGUGAAGCGGUCGAGACCGACGAGCUGGAGUGCUGCAGAGGCAAGUGGAAUUCCCGGUGUAGCGGUGAAAUGCGUAGAUAUCGGGAAGAACACCGGUGGCGAAGGCGACUUGCUGGGCAGCAACUGACGCUGAGGCGCGAAAGCCAGGGGAGCGAACG